rnacentral:rRNA from 1 species
CCCCUAACCCAGGGAAGGGGGGGGAAAACGUUUCGGAACGGACGCUUAAUACCGCAUACGUCCUACGGGAGAAAGCCCUUUGACCUUCGGGCCUUGCGCUAUCAGAUGAGCCUAGGUCGGAUUAGCUAGUUGGUGAGGUAAUGGCUCACCAAGGCUACGAUCCGUAACUGGUCUGAGAGGAUGAUCAGUCACACUGGAACUGAGACACGGUCCAGACUCCUACGGGAGGCAGCAGUGGGGAAUAUUGGACAAUGGGCGAAAGCCUGAUCCAGCCAUGCCGCGUGUGUGAAGAAGGUCUUCGGAUUGUAAAGCACUUUAAGUUGGGAGGAAGGGCAUUAACCUAAUACGUUAGUGUUUUGACGUUACCGACAGAAUAAGCACCGGCUAACUCUGUGCCAGCAUCCGCGGUAAUACAGAGGGUGCAAGCGUUAUUCGGAAUUACUGGGCGUAAAGCGCGCGUAGGUGGUUUGUUAAGUUGAAUGUGA